GACCAGCACUCCUGCUGUUGGACAGAAAGACAUCAACUUGAGAUAUGACUGCACUAUGCUGUUGCUGGUGACCACAGUUAAUUCUACAAGACAUGCUGUGUAGGACAACAGGAGAGAUGAGUCCUCCGUCACAGGUGGUGUGGUCAGUGAAGAUGGUCACCUGCAGGUUCAAGCUCAUUACAUCUCCAACCCACAUCCACUGCCACUGUACUUAAGGGAAGUUAAAGACUUUCUUCUGCACCUACAUUUGGAUCACCUCGAUCCAUGACAGUCAUUCAGUCAGUAAUGCCUGGACUGGAAACAAACAUCCUUAAAAUAAUACAACAUUCCAGCUGCUGUGUUGCAAUGGAAAACAAAUGUGUUGUUUAAAUUAGAGACUGCAC
ensembl:lncRNA